CUCUCUCUCUCUCGGUGGCGGUGAGACAAUGAGGAUGAAGAGGAAGACAGAGGAAGAAUAAAUGGCUCCUGCUCCCUGGGUCCCUGGAGCGGUUUCCCUGUGAGCUGCACUAUUCUGGGCCCCAUUUCACGAAGCAGGAUUACUCCGUUAACUGGAUAACUGCACUGAGUAAACCCUGGAACCCUCCCAAAUGUGGAACAUGAACUGAAGUAAAAAGAGCUGUUCUGGGUUUUACUCCACGAAGUUAUCCAGCCAACUCUGUAAUUCUAAACCUGCAGGUAAGUAUUUUCAAACCACCAUUGGAGGGUUUUCUCCCCACUGGGAGUUCUGUCCUUAUGUACUUGCUAUUUGGGGGUUCAGGCCUGGUGUCUGUCGUUUGCUUUUUGCUCUGUCCUUUGCCUUGCUACUGCUUGCUUGCUUACUUGCUGUAAAGUGUCUUUGUGACAGUUCUCUAAAAAGUGCUAUACAAAUGAAAUUAAAUUGAAUUGAAAUUGAAAACACCCAGAACACAUUUUAGAAUGACAAAUACAGGUAACCGGUGCAUGAAUUCAGCUAAAGUGUGUGAAGACAAAGAUUUCCAGUGCAUCAUAGAUAUGCUUGAGCUCACUUAUUUUAUGAUAGUUUAAAAUAAAAAAAUCUGCAUAGUAUGCCUUCAAUUUUAUUGCUUUUUUGUUUGUUGGCUGUAACAAAUUCACUAUAGUAGCUAAUAUGCUUUGGUAACUAGGUAGGCAGUUUUGGCAGCUAGUAAGUUUGCUAGCAAGCCAACAUUACCAGUAUAACAUUAGCUAAACAGACUCGCAGCUAACCGGUAGAUGACCAGCUUCAGAGAUGCAUAAAUAAAAUGGUAAAACUGUCUCUGCAAACUAUAGAGCUAGCUGGCAAGGUAAUCGCGUUAUGUUUCUGUGAAGCUAGCUAGGUAGCUUACUUCGUCAGCUAGCAAAGUUACAUCACUACAAAACAUAAGGUCAAUGUUGUUGAUUACUAGAUGAAUACAUACUAGCUAAAUAAAUAAUGUUAGCUAUAUUGUUUAGCUUGCGACAUUUUGUAAUGUUCUCACUCUGAAUGGGAGUUCUGCAAGAGUGUGUGUGUGAGUGAGAGUGUGUGUGUGUGUGGAUGUGUGUGUGUGUGUGUGUGUGAGAGUGCGUAUGUGUGUGUGGGUGUGCAUGUGUGUGUGCCUGCAUAUGUGUGCAUGUGUGUGUGUGCAUGUGUCUGUGUGUGUGUGUUUGUAUAGCCUACAUGAUUGUGUGCUUGUGUGUGUGCGUAUGUGUGCAUCUGUAUGCAUGAAUGUGUGUAUGCGCA